rnacentral:lncRNA from 1 species
GAUUCUUCCCACGCUAUUACCAGCAUUUGUUAACCUUCAUAAAACCUGUCUUUUCUUUCCUAGGUCACUAUUGCCCCAGGAAUACACAGUAUCCAUGUCCCCCUGGAACCUCUAGUGAAGCUUUAAAUAUCUGGGAUGCUUCCAAGUGCCAGCUGUGUCCUCCUGGAAGGGUCUCUUCCAAGCCGGGUUUAGCAAGACCAGAUGGACUGUGCAUGCCUGGAUGGCUUUGUCCGCCUGGAUCCACAUCAAGCAAACCAGUGUUUCCUAGAAAUUACAUUGGUACAAAGGGAAACAAUAAAGAUAAAGUGUGAUGGUGAUUAUUAUCGAGGAGGCACGACAGCUUCAGCUUCUGGGUUGUGCCAAGGACCUUUUGUCCUGCUGGUUCAUUUCUUCCUCUGCCCUGCACUCCAGGUAGGAGAAGGCUCUUUCCUCCUGCACAAGUUUAUUGGGUUGGGCUGGGUUUUUUAUACAUUUGUACUCUUUUCCCUUUUGCUGAGAUCAAUGGGCGGUCCCGGUCUUGUGCCGUGACUGUUUGGUGCUGGCGUCUUUUAAAUGAUGUUCUUGCUCCUGCCCUCUGCUUCAGGUUUGUACUGUGCAACUGCAGAGCUCGCAGCUCCGCCAGGUCCUUGCGAGGCUGACUUCUACUGCACGGGGGGGGCUCCACACUCCCAAACCCCAUGGAUGGAGCAGUGGGGAACAUUUGUCCUUGAGGCCACUUCUGUCCUGCAGGGAGUUCUUCUCCAUCUCCGUGUCCCCCAGGCUCCUUUUUGGCUCAUCGUGGUGGCCAGUCAGCACAGGACUGCCAGGCCUGCGUCCCAGGGAGGUUCUGUUCUCAGCGAGGUCAGAGCUCCCCGGAGGGCUUGUGUGAAGAAGGAUGGUUUUGCCCGGAGGGCUCUGCGUCAGGCCAGCAUUCAGGUUCUGUGCCCCAGAAGACCACCCAGCUGAUCUCCAAGAGAACUUCUCACAAGGUGUGGUCAAACCAAUAGAAUGUCCAGCAGGAUGUUACUGCCCAUCGGGAACAAGAGCUGCCAAUCAGUACCCGUGCCCAGAGGGCACCUCCAGUAACCCUACUGGAGUGGGAAAUCCCAGGGAAUGCAAGCCUUGUCC